GAUGAACGCCGGCGGCGUGCCUAAUACAUGCAAGUCGAGCGAACAGACGAGAGUGCUUGCACUCUCUGACGUUAGCGGCGGACGGGUGAGUAACACGUGGGUAACCUACCUAUAAGACUGGGAUAACUUCGGGAAACCGGAGCUAAUACCGGAUAAUAUUUAGCUUCGCAUGAAGCAAUAGUGAAAGACGGUUCUGCUGUCACUUAUAGAUGGACCCGCGGUGUAUUAGCUAGUUGGUGAGGUAACGGCUCACCAAGGCAACGAUACAUAGCCGACCUGAGAGGGUGAUCGGCCACACUGGGACUGAGACACGGCCCAGACUCCUACGGGAGGCAGCAGUAGGGAAUCUUCCGCAAUGGACGAAAGUCUGACGGAGCAAUGCCGCGUGAGUGAAGAAGGUUUUCGGAUCGUAAAACUCUGUUGUAAGGGAAGAACAAGUACGUUAGUAACUGAACGUACCUUGACGGUACCUUACCAGAAAGCCACGGCUAACUACGUG
rnacentral:rRNA from 1 species